rnacentral:rRNA from 1 species
GUCCACGCUGUAAACGAUUGAUGCUAGAUGUCGGGGGUAUUGACCCCUCCGGCGUCGCAGCUAACGCAUUAAGCAUCCCGCCUGGGGAGUACGGCCGCAAGGCUAAAACUCAAAGGAAUUGACGGGGGCCCCGCACAAGCGGUGGAGCAUGUGGUUUAAUUCGACGCAACGCGCAGAACCUUACCUGGGUUAAAUCCACUGGAACCUUGCAGAGAUGUAGGGGUGCCCUUCGGGGAGCCAGUGAGAAGGUGCUGCAUGGCUGUCGU